rnacentral:rRNA from 1 species
GAUGAACGCUGGCGGCGUGCUUAACACAUGCAAGUCGAACGUUGAACCGGGUGCUUGCACUCGGGGAUUAGUGGCGAACGGGUGAGUAACACGUGAGCAACCUGCCCCUGACUCUGGGAUAAGCGCUGGAAACGGCGUCUAAUACUGGAUAUGUCCCGUCACCGCAUGGUGUGCGGGUGGAAAGAUUUUUCGGUUGGGAAUGGGCUCGCGGCCUAUCAGCUUGUUGGUGAGGUAAUGGCUCACCAAGGCGUCGACGGGUAGCCGGCCUGAGAGGGUGACCGGCCACACUGGGACUGGGACACGGCCCAGACUCCUACGGGAGGCAGCAGUGGGGAAUAUUGCACAAUGGGCGGAAGCCUGAUGCAGCAACGCCGCGUGAGGGAUGACGGCCUUCGGGUCGUAAACCUCUUUUAGCAGGGAAGAAGCGAGAGUGACGGUACCUGCAGAAAAAGCACCGGCUAACUACGUGCCAGCAGCCGCCGUAA